UAAAGCAGGGUUAUAAAAAAAUACGCAAUAAAAAAUUAAAACCUCUCGCUCCCACUCGCCGCCAUAGAUCUAGCUCCCAAAACCCAACUUCUGUGCUCCGUAUCAUCCAUCAUAAUCUUCAGUUCUCAAACAAUCUCAUCUCUUAAUGGCCCUUGAAUUUUAGAGAUUUUGCUUUUAAAAUGUGGAAAAUUAUUCCUUGUUGUUUUUCUCAAUUCCUGGUAAUGUUCUCAUAAAUUUCCUUGCUGUUAUGCAGAUUUAUUGUUCAAAUUAGGUUUUUAUAUUGAUUUAUUGUGGUGAAAUUGUCUUCAAUUAUCAGUUAUUGUAUAUAUUCGGUCAUUAUUAGUAUCAAAUCAAAGGCUGGAUUGAUUAAUUCAAUUGUUAUGUUGGUGUCGAUUAUUUUUCUAUGUUUCGCACUGCCGCCACCCUCACCUCCCGCACUCGCACCCGCACCAGCAUCAACGCCACCACAUGUGCCGAGAUAGGCCAACUUGGAGGACUCCUUACCACCCUUGGAGGGUCAAGGUUUUAGCCCAAGGGUGUUCCAACCCUUAUUCGCUGGGAGAUGCUUCUGCUACGCGUUUGGAAGACCAGGAGGCUCACGUUGAAUCCAAUAUUAGUGCCCUUCUCGAAUAUGAAGUGACUUAACAGGGAAAGGAUUCGUUAGUCGUUACAUACACUGAGGCAAUUUAUCAGCAAGAGGUAUAAAGAGUAAGAGGAAUUUUUCAGUAAGAGGUCAAAAGAGCAAGAGGUGGCUCCUUACUUGGGUUCUUCACAGGCUACACCCUAAACCACUAGUUCCUGCCAAUGAUCCAGAAAUAUCAAAGGGUGUAUUGUGAAUUCAAGCCCAACAGUGAUUGCUCACAAUGUGAACUUUGUUUUAUGCCCCCUUGCAAUCAGAUUAAGGAGCAGCUAAAUUGGAGAUUAAUAGAGGUUUUUUCGUGAUGAAAUGAGUAGAUUUGUUCCACUACAACUAGUCACGAAUGAAGUAUAAGUUGGAAACAUAUCUUUUGUAAUAGAGAACUCAUUACUAUGAGAUAUUGUACAUGUACUAUAUUUUAUAUAUUAUAUGCAAUCAAAAAAAUUUGGCCUAAUUUUGUUGUGUA